UAUUUUUGCUGUGCCUGAGUGCGAAUUAUGGAGGGUUCCCCCUAAAUGAUAUCUAAGAAAAAGGUUAUUCGAUAUAAUUUAUCACAAUACGCUAGCGAACAGAAUGUAGUAACCAGCAAGAGCUGCUUAGAAAGUAGGCCUACAUCUACAAAACCCUAAAAUCACGUUUUUAUAGAUUUACAUAGCAACGAAAUAUAGGCUACAUUAAAAAAGUUAGUGUUUUGUUUAAAAUAUUUAAUAACUAAGCCAGGGUACCAUAACUUCAACCCACAAGAAAAAAAUACUUAAUAGUAAUUAAUAGUAAAUACUAUACUGUUUUUGAGCCAUACUAUAUUAAAGUAGGCUACUUGAAUUAAUUUGUUGUGGUAAUUCUAUAGUCGCUGUGAUAAUAUAACAACUAUAGUAGCCUAAUAUAAACAAAUUACCCAAUACUGUACUAAGUUUUCUACAACUAUAGGGUAUAUUAUACUACAAUACACAGUUUACUGCAGUAAAAACUAACGUAAACUACAGUAUUUAUUACAGUUUAUCAGUUCACUAUAGUAUGCUGUAGCAUUCAUUAACAAAGUGUUGUAAAUACUAUAACAUAUACAAUUUACUAUAGUAUGGUUCAAAAACACUAUAGUAUUUACUAUAAAUUACUAGUAUUUUUUCAUAAAAUAAUUAAACACUGUAAAAGGCUGUGAUCUAAAAAGCAAAAUGUCUAUAAUAGAUCUUUUCAGUCAACUCUGCAAAUUUUAAGUGCGUUUUUAUUUUCUAAUAGUACUUAAUAAACAAUUAAUUGACAUAACGCGCUACAAUCGUAGGCUACGUGUGGCGUCAGCACGUUGAAAGCGAUUGCUGCUGAACGUUGCUAGGAAACCAACAAGCCGUCCAAAAAGGACGUAGUGUUGUCCGGUGUGGAUUGGACAUAUCUGCAGAACAACAGAACUUGGCCAGCUUGUGGUGUAACAUGUCAGCAAUGCACUGGGAGGCCCGCCGCCGUCAACAAGUGCUGGAUCGCAGAUUAUCUGCCUCGGUUAAGCAGGAAGAUAAGCAAGGUAAAAAGAAAGAGCAUUCUGAGGCACAUAUGACACCCUGUAAACCUGCAGGGUCUCUAGGUAAAGCAGCUCAUAAUAACAGAUCAAACAUAAGUACACUCAACAAUUCUCCAUUGUUUGCAUGCCAUUAAGAACAAAAAGUCACUGCUUUAGAGGUGACUGAAUUUGAAUGAUCAAAAUACAAAAUUAACUACGACAUACGAUACAUGGAAUCUUAAUGCAGUCAGUGUAAACAUAUUUGUUUUCUUCAGAGGUUGAUGAGCAAUGCAGUUGCAAGUGUCAUGCCAAGAUGAAAAGAUACACGGUGAGUACUGCAAACUUGUUUAUCCUGUUCCGAUAUAAUGUAGCAGUCAGAUUCAACAGAUCCUGUGGUUAGAUAUUAUCUAUUUAUAUUUUUUACCUUUACAUAAAGACAAUUUGGCUUUAGAACCAUUUUAUUUUGUCCAGCCCUUGUAUGUGUAUAAUUUCACAGUGAUUAUUUAAAGAAUUUAUAAGGUGGAAAUGAUCCAGAAAAUAGCAGCAUCAACAUAAGAUGUGUGCAUGAUUUGUUUCAGUCCUUGCAGUAUUCCCAGCAAUGGUGAAGAUGAAGGCCAGACUUCUGGACAGUAUCAACUCCACAUAUUAAGGUGUAUUUUAUAGGAGACCAGACUUUAUUCUUCUUUCAUAAUGCUAAUUAAAACAGAACUAGGUGUUUAACAAUUCUGAUUAGAUGCAUAAUUUGCUCAAGAAUUUACAACAAAUAAAAUUACAAUUUAAUGUGCAAAUUCGUGUUGUGCAAAUUUUAAAACAUGUUUAUAUUAUGUAAACACUAAUAAAUCAAUGAGCAAGAAAA